rnacentral:rRNA from 1 species
UACGGAGGGUGCAAGCGUUAUCCGGAUUCACUGGGUUUAAAGGGUGCGUAGGUGGGUAAGUAAGUCAGUGGUGAAAUCUCCGAGCUUAACUCGGAAACUGCCAUUGAUACUAUUUAUCUUGAAUAUCCUGGAGGUGAGCGGAAUAUGUCAUGUAGCGGUGAAAUGCUUAGAUAUGACAUAGAACACCAAUUGCGAAGGCAGCUCACUACGGGAUUAUUGACACUGAGGCACGAAAGCGUGGGGAUCAAACAGG